rnacentral:lncRNA from 1 species
UUGUGAUUAAGUUAAAAAAAACCUGUCGUUGUUAUUAUUGUUAUUAAAGUACAUAUUUUUAAGUUUUUAAUGUGAAUUAAUAUAAAAUGCAAUGUCAAAUUAACAAUAUUACAGUUGGUAUAUCUGCCUCUGGGACAAAUUGUAAAGGGUGGGUUAAUUUGGGACAUACAGGUAUAAUGAGAAGCAGGCAGGAUUUGCGGUGGGUCAACCUUGAGUUCAAGUCCCACUCCUACCUUAUUAACCAUAUGGCCCCUAGGUAAUUCAUAAACCUCUAUGAGCCUUAGUUUCUUCCAUAAAUUAAGGAGAUGACCCACCUACUUAGAAGGUUGUGAGGAUUAAGUGAAACCAGGUGUAAUAAGCAUUUUCUAGGUGGCCUUGUGCGUGGCAAGCAUUUGGAGUUCCCACCAUGUGCAUAUCUCUAAGAAGGGAAAACUUGGGUUUUGGCAACAUCAAAGAGGAACUUAACUCCAGCACCUACUGAGUAUCUGUGCUUGGUAAAUAUUGCUUAAGAGUAUUCAUCUGCUUAAAAUCUGGGGCCUGCAGAUAGGGGUGGGAGAGUGAGGCAGGAGAGUUGUAGGUUAAAUUCAGCUGCUUUGUACACCACAUCUGUAUAUAAUAAACAGAUAACUAACAAGAACCUACUGCAUAGCACAGGGAAAUCUACUCGAUAGUGUGCAAUAACUUAUGGGGAAAAAAAUGGAUACAUGUACAUGUAUAAUUGAUUCACUUUGCUGUACACCUGCAACUAAUGCAACAUUGUAAGUCAACUCCAAUAAAAAAUUUUUUUAAAUUCAUCUUUUUUGUGAAAACAACUGAUAUCAGGAAAAGCACUUGACUCUGAAUGUGGCCACCCCAGGCAUCAUGGACCAGUCCCUCCAACCCCUUCUCUGCCUUUCUCUAUGGUCUCAGAAUCUAAGAGUUCAGUGGGAAGUACAUCUGGAAUAUUCAGAUACAUGUGCAAAUGAAAACACAUGGAAAACACCUCCCAUUUCAGUUAUCUAGCGCUAUGUAAUAAACUACUCCCAAAACUUGGUGACAUUGAGCAACUAUCAUUUUAUUACCAUCUAUCUUGAUUUCAGGGGUUGACUGGGUUAAGCUGAGCUGCCCUUCUGCACUGACAUCAACCGGAGCUGCAGUCAACGGGGAGGUGAGUCUGGAGAACCCAAAAAGUCUCACUCACAAGGCUGAAGUCUGGCUGGGAGUUAGCCAGAAAUCAGCUGGGGCUCGCAUCUUGAUUUUCCUCCAUGUGGCCUCCCCAUGAAGCUUGGGCUUCUUAUAUAUGGCAGCAGGAUUCCAAGGGGAAGGACACAGAAACUGCCCAUCUCUUAAGGCCAUAUGUCUUAGGCUCAUAUGUCUCAGCACAUCAUUUCUAUAACAUCAAAGCAAUCAUGGAACUAGCCCAGACUCAAAGAAAGGGGAUAUAAACUCCACCUCUUAAUGGCAAAGUAUUUUACAAACAGGGAGGGAAAAGGUUGAUGGCAGCCAUCUUGGAAGACCAUGUACCACACCUCCUGAAAAUUUCACUUCUUACAAAGAGUUUUCACUCUAGAAUUAUGUGUAUCUCUCAGCCCAGUAAAUAAUUAUCCCAGUAAUUUAUCAUAAGGAAGUAGUCUUGGAUGACUCAAAAGAUUUGAUGAAAGGUUUUCCAUUACUAACUUUUCUUAUGCUGGGAAGUUAGAUGAGGCCAUGCAAUGUCUCACCAGACACAAAGCCUAUGUCCUAUAGAAACAGAAGCCUUGACCCUGAGAACUGAUGUGCUUAGAUAAGGUCAUUCUAGGUAAACAGACGAUGUGUGUACUCUUGAAAAGCACUGGCUCCCUAUAACUGGAUUAGCCCUGAGGAGAAGUGCUCUCCAUUCAUUUAUUCAGCAAUUGUUUCUGGUGCACCUGUAACUCACCAUGUUGGUUUCAAUGUGGGGCUUCAGCAGCACUGAACUCAACAAAGUACUUGGCUGCAGGAACCUUACAUUUUAGUGGGCAGACAACCAAAUAAAUACAUAAUUACAUAUAAAAUAGCAUAUGGUAAAAAGACCUUGUUGAGUGAUAAUUCUCCUCUAAGGUUCUGCAAGAAAAAAGAGAAACAUUUACACCCCUUUGGUACAAUGGCAAAUGAUGAGGAAGAGGCAUAGAAAUAGCAUUGGCCUUGCAGUUACAAGACUUGGAUUUAAAUCACUGACCUGAAUUUCGUGCGUGAACUUGAGCUAAUGGCACUAAAACUUCACAAGCGUCAGUAACCUUUUCUGCAAAAUGGGAACCAUAGUACUGCUUUCCUCACAGAGAAGAUACGAGGAUCAAACCAGACUGUAAAAUCUACUAAGGAAUAAGCUCCGAGUUUUUCCCAUUUCGUAAACUUUUGGCUCUACACUCCAAAGUAGGAUCAAGUCGCUGCCAAGCCAAGCUCCUGCUGUAAAUUUGAAAACAUCAAGUCCCAGCUCUGAUGCUACCAAUGCCAUGGGAUUGAUCUCAAGGCAUGAAACAUUUUAUAUAUCAAGCCAUGGGUGGGGAGACGCAGACAGGGAAGGAGACAGCCUCUGUCUAGCAGCUUCCUUUCUUCCUCUCACUUGCAGGUGUUCAGUAAAGCAAUCUGGAUGUUCCAAAAGGUCACCCUCUGUCUCGCUUUGUUGUAAGACACGUCAAGCUGUGGCCAUUCCAUGCUACAGUUGGGAAGUUGAUAUUUAAUAGUUUUCAUUUCUCUUAAGAGUCUUAUAACGGAAAAAGUAAAUAAAUAUAACAUAUGGGAGGAUAUAUACCGAAAUUAUAGCGAAUACUUGUUGAGCUGCUGGUGCUCUCUUUUUCUUGCUUGCUUCUCUAUUUUUUGUUUGUUUGUUUUGUUUUGUUUUUUACGGCCACACCUGUGGCAUAUCCAAGUUCCAGGGACAGGGGUGGAACUGGAGUUGCAGCUGAGGCCUAUGCCACAGACACAGCAAUGCCAGAUCUGUUCUUCGUCUGUGACCUACACCGCAGCUUGCGGCAUGCCAGAUCUUUAACCAAUUCAGGGAGGCCAGGAAAGGAACACACAUCCUCACGACCACUACAUUGGGUUCUGAACCUGCUGAGCCACAAUGGGAACUCCAACUUCUCUGUUUUGUGUUUUCUUUUUUCAUUUAUUAAAAACGACAACAACUUAUGCAGCAUGUACAUGCAGGGAUCAGACAGCUGGAAGGGAUGACCCCACCAUUCCCAUCUCAGUUCCAAAUUUUGAUGCCACCCCAUUUCUUCUGGGUUCACCAGCCAGUGUAGACUUGAUGUCAUUAGGUUGGGGGCCCUAUAAGGCUACUGCUGUGUUUUUAUUUUUUCUCCUCCUGCCAUUUCUAAAUUUUCAAGAUUUCCCAGCCAGGCCUAGGUCUCACCAUAUCUUGUCUUUCCUCGAUUUUAAAACCACCAGACAAAGAUUUGAAUCCAGGUUCUUUACUUAUUGGCUAAGUGACUUUGAAGAAGCUUCUUAACUUCUCUGAACUGCAAUUUUGUCAUCUGUAAAAUGGGAGCAAUAACACCCACAGGGAGGAGGUCGUAAGGAUUUGGCAAGAUAAUGUUAAAAGGGCUGGCACAUAAUAGAGGCUCAAAAGGUAAUUGCUAUUAAUAAAAGUAGUCCUGGGAAGCACUGGAGGCUGUUCUAGGCUGUUCACGGGCAGAAUUGUACUAUCCUUAAGAGCUCUGGGAGUUCCCUUCAUGGCGCAGCGGAAACUAAUCCAACUAGGAACCAUGAGGUAGCAGGUUCGAUCCCUGGCCUUGCUCAGUGGGUUAAGGAUCCAGCAUUGCCAUGAGCUGUGGUGUAGGUCGCAGAUGCGGCUUGGAUCUGGUGUUGCUGUGGCUGUGGUAUAGGUCAGCAGAAACAGACCCUAGUCNAAAAAAAAAAAAAAAAAAAAAAAGAACUCCGGCUCUGGUCUCUAAAGAACCCAGUUAAAGUCCUUGCUUUCUCUGCCUGGGCUUCCUCAUUUGUGAAAUAUGCAUAAUAAUAGAACUUAUCCUAACAGUGAUUCUCCAGCUGUUAUACAGGGAUCCUAACAGUCCCCAAGACCCUUCCUGGGGUCCUCAAGGUCAAAUCUACUUUGGUAAUAGGGCUAAAACAGUACCUGCCCUUUUCAUUCGUAUUCUUUCUCAAGUAUACAGUAGAUUUCCAAAGCCUACAUGACAUGUCAUGUGUUAUUGCUCUGAUGGCUAAUGGAAAGUGUGUUUGUAAAUUCCCAUGCUUUGGGGUUUUUUUCAGUUGAAUUUCUAAUAAAUAUCAAGAUGUAUAUAACUUACAUAAACAAAAGCUCUUUGGGGUCCUUAAUAAUUUGAAGGGUCUAAAGGGGGCCUGAGACAAAACAUUCCGAGAAUCAAUGCCUGUUAGGGUUGUUGUAAAGAUUAAGAACUGUACACCUGAAACUAAAACAAUAUCGUACAUCAGCUAUACUUCAGUUUGAAAAAAGAUUAACCAGCAAUUGGCAAAGGCACACAAAGCACUCAAUAAGCACUACUCCUAUAAUUAUUGAUUCCAGAGCUCCUGAAUCACAUCAGGUAAGUGUCUGCCUCCUCCACCUACACGUGAAGCAAACUGAAAUCGUAGCUCUUAAUGCAAAAGUCACCCUUGUUUAAUCCCCUGCUGUCUGCUUAUAUAGGGAAGGUCCGGCCCAUGCUAAACUCUGAACAAUUUAAAGACACUGCAGCACAUCAGAUGCCCCCACAGUGUCCAAGAGAUACAAGUGGCCUGAAGACAUGAAAGCUCAAUGGACGGUCCAGAGGGUCUACCCGGUGUGGCUCAUGCCUGACCCUUCCAUCCUAUUAUCCGCUCGCCCAACCAAAAGAAGACGGUAGUGAGGGGGGGACAGAGGAAACAUGGCUUAUAGAAAUCCCUUCUAAGUGGAUGACCAGCAAAAGGAGGUGCAGCCUCAGAACAGAUACAACUUUCUUAAGGUUUCAGUAACUUCCAUGGAAACAGGGAACUGUAGUUAUGGGGGGGGGGGGCGUAGGGAAGCAGUGGAAUGACCUGGAAGAGUCAAGAGUAAGCAAUAUAAAAAUAUUAUAGUUGGUGGGAUUGUUUUCUUUUUCUUUCUCUCUUCAUGCACAUCCUUGAGGGAAGAGGAAAAAAACUCAGCAUCCCUAAAUUCUGAUAUUGACAGCAAGCACAUUAGGAUGUUAGACAGUAGAUAUGGAAUGAGUUUGAGAAAGAUGCGAUAGCAUCUGGAUCAUAGUCACCCAGGAAGUUCUUAAUAAAUCCUUUAAGAACCUGGGCAGUUUGCCUCUCAGAUCUGAGAGCAUUAGGAAAAGAGACCUCCUUCAAAGCCAGUACCUGGUUUCCUGCACCGUUAACAAACAACCCUGCAUCAGCAAUAACGGAACAAACAGGUGCAAGCCAGUAGAAAGUUUUGCAUAUGAGCUAUUUUUAUUUUUAUUGUAAAAAUUUCUGGGAACCCAAAGAACAGGUUCUGGUGGAGAAAUUGGAGCCCUAAAGGGAGACCCUGAGAAAGCCUUUCAGCUGCUUUCUUCUCCUCAGCCUCAGAAACGAAAAUGCCAAAAGGUCAACCAAUGCGUUGACCACGCAGUCAGCCCGGGAGCCAGCCAUUUUCACCCCGUCUCCGUCCUCGCCUCCAGCCACUCCGCCGCACACGGCCACCUGUUGCUGUCCUAGCGCCCAGAGCCGAGUCGCAAGCCGCCGCUAGAGUUCGUUCUAAUUCCCCCCAAGCUAAGGCUGGCCGGGAAGCCCCGACGCUCCGCGCCUGCUAAUCCUCAGCGCGGGCGGGGACUCCGCGGAGCCUCCCAGCCCCAGGCUCCCUUUGUCUUCUUGCUGCUCUCAAAAUGUCAAAAGUAGACCCCAGACAGCAUCCCCUUGGCCCCCGCUCGCCCAGUGCGCGCUCGCACUCAGCACACACUUGGGAGAUGCUGACGCGUCGAGAUGCCCACCGAGGAGAAACUGGUCCACCUGGCAGGGACAGGCGGCGCAGACAGGUUCUGUGAAAUGCCAAAGCGUCCCCUGAAUCCCAAAUCCCUUGGAGCCCUUAGCUGAACACUGCAGCUGAAGCGCCGCGCCCAAAACGCGAGUUCACGGUUCCCGAGGCCGCGGGCGGAGGGCAGCGAGAUUCUGACCUGCCUUUGCUCUAAGCCGCCCGAGGGGAUCCAGGGGGCGGCGGCGGUUAGGGAUGCCCUCCCGCCGGGAAGGCCAGAGUCCCAGUUUCGAAAGUGACCCGCCUCGCUUCCGAGGGACUUCCCUGCCAGCGCCGCAGGGGUGUGCAUUUCUCCGAAGUCUGAGAAUCCCAGCGAGCGCUGGCCCGACAAGAGUUUAAGUCAGCUCCCAGGGCGUCUGUUUGUUUAUUGGCUCUUAGGAAAAAAAGUUUGAGGAUGUUUAACCAACCUCAGACCUGGCGCAAGCGGAAAUCUCAGAAUCUCUUCAGCAAAAGUCAUCUAAUUUCGAGUCGUUAUAUAAGUGGGGGCUCUUCCUUACCCUCCCUACUCCGAGCCCUCUUAUUACUACUCCAGGAGUUAAAUGUGUCUCGCUUUAAAAAAGAAAAAAAAAAUUUUUUUAAGUUGUUAUUAUUUCCCUGAGUCCUAGGGCGGGAGAAAGCGCAGGCAGCGCCCUGGGCUUGCGGCGGCCCCACCCGCGCGCUGCCGUUUGCUCUGCAGGAGGGACGCGGGGUCCCGGGUGCCGCCCGCUCAGCGAGCAGCCGCGCCCAGCGGUCCCUCCGUCGGCCACUCCACGUGGUUAGGAUCAACAGUUUGUCGAGCUCAUCAGUGACACCUUGAACUUUUCAUAAAGAAAAUGGGUAUUGCACCAGGAGGGUUUGGCCGCGGCCGCCGCGCCGGGUCGUGCUUAAUAUUCAAUGAUCUCGCUCGCGCCUCCCCCUCCUCCCCUCGCAGAAAUUCCACCGAGUCCGUUACUGGGCUCAGACUUUUAAGUUAAUUUACUGCCCACCCCCCAACCUUGGCUAGUAACCAGCGCCUUUAGGGUUGGCCUCCCCCCCAGCUCUCGCCUGAAAAUGACAUUUCGCCGGCGUCUCCGGAGGGGGCUGAAUUUCACUUUGUAACUUUCUGCGGAACCCGAGCCCGGGUGGCAGCUCGGGUGGUGGUAUCGUAUGCAAAUACGCAU